rnacentral:rRNA from 2 species
GGAUGCGAUCAUACCAGCACUAAAGCACCGGAUCCCAUCAGAACUCCGAAGUUAAGCGUGCUUGGGCUAGAGUAGUACUAGGAUGGGUGACCUCCUGGGAAGUCCUCGUGUUGCAUUCC